AAAGAUCUUUCAACUUAAAAAGAAAAAUACGUUCAUGUAACAUCGUCUAUAUAAGUUAGCGAGGUAAUAACAUGACCAAUCAAUAUUUUUCUCUGAAGAAAACAGAUAAAAAAGAAUAAAGAGUAAGUUACGUCGGCAAGAGAAUAGACGUUUGUUUAUGUCAAUGCUUUGGUUUAAAUCUAUUGAUUAUGGUAUUAUAUUAAAUCAAAAUUGGCAAAACGAAUUGUUGUUAUAUCUGAAAACGAAAUCGUAAUAUAUAAAAAUUUGAGGAAGAAGGACACAGAAUAAGAAGGAAGAGGCAAAGGAGGGCGAGAGUUCACAUGUUCAAGAGAAGACAAAUACGUUUUCCUGACACAAUCUGUCAGAACCUAUUUCUUCUUUAAUUUAAUUUUUAUAAUAAAUAUGUUUUGUUUUGUUGUAUAAGAACGAAACGUAUAUUAUUAGUAUGUUUCUAUUAUAAACAGAAGGGUCCGAGUCAGUCCACGUUGGUCCUACUUUUUUCUCUUUGGACAUAAGUUUUUUUAAUUAUUUUUUUUGUAGUAAAAGGCAAGUCACGCCGGCACGCGAGGCCUCACGUGAUCCCACGUGCUUUAUUAUUCUAUCUCUCUCUUUAUUUCUUUGCUUUUUUUCUUCGAGUUUGGUAAAGUAAAGAAUUUCAAUUUCAUCAAAACUAAUAACCGAGAUUCAUCUUUUGAAGUUACAAUUUUGCUGUUGUUUUUUUUCUCUUUCUCAAGUGUUUUAAAAU
rnacentral:lncRNA from 1 species